rnacentral:tmRNA from 1 species
GGGGAUGAUCGGUUUCGACAUUACUUGUGUGUCCAUAGGGAAGCGGGCCGAGAAUGCAGAGUUAUCUCGUAAACGUCCUCUGCAAACUAUAGGUGCCAAUACAAAGCGCACCGACUUCGCUCUCGCUGCCUAAGCAGCGGACAAGUCCGUCAGACUGAGAGGGCCUCUGGCUCAGAUACUGGCGUCGAUUAAGAGGCUUGCUGAUGACUCGUGUAUCAGGGGUUAUCGGGACUUUUUCUGAUGCUGGGCCUGUCGUUCUAGGUGCUUGUGACAAAGAACGGGGCCGAGCAGAACGCUUUCACAAGAUACGCCCGUAGAAGACUGUGGUUCGAAGUAGUGGACCCGGGUUCGAUUCCCGGCAUCUCCACCA